GAUGAACGCUCGCUACAGGCUUAACACAUGCAAGUCGCGGGGCAGCAUGGGGGUUGCUUGCAAUCCCCGAUGGCGACCGGCGCACGGGCGAGUAACGCGUAUCCAACCUGCCCUUCACCACGGGAUAACCCGGCGAAAGUCGGACUAAUACCGUAUGUUGUCCAUUGACGGCCUCCGAUUUGGACGAAAGGUUUGGCGGUGAAGGAUGGGGAUGCGUCCGAUUAGCUGGACGGCGGGGUGACGGCCCACCGUGGCGACGAUCGGUAGGGGUUCUGAGAGGAAGGUCCCCCACACUGGAACUGAGACACGGUCCAGACUCCUACGGGAGGCAGCAGUGAGGAAUAUUGGUCAAUGGGCGUAAGCCUGAACCAGCCAAGUAGCGUGCAGGAGGACGGCCCUAUGGGUUGUAAACUGCUUUUAUGCGGGGAUAAAGUGGCCCACGUGUGGGUUUUUGCAGGUACCGCAUGAAUAAGGACCGGCUAAUUCCGUG
rnacentral:rRNA from 1 species